ACGGGUGAGUAAUGUCUGGGAAACUGCCUGAUGGAGGGGGAUAACUACUGGAAACGGUAGCUAAUACCGCAUGACGUCUUCGGACCAAAGUGGGGGACCUUCGGGCCUCACGCCAUCAGAUGUGCCCAGAUGGGAUUAGCUAGUAGGUGGGGUAAUGGCUCACCUAGGCGACGAUCUCUAGCUGGUCUGAGAGGAUGACCAGCCACACUGGAACUGAGACACGGUCCAGACUCCUACGGGAGGCAGCAGUGGGGAAUAUUGCACAAUGGGCGCAAGCCUGAUGCAGCCAUGCCGCGUGUAUGAAGAAGGCCUUCGGGUUGUAAAGUACUUUCAGCGAGGAGGAAGGCAUUAAGGUUAAUAACCUUAGUGAUUGACGUUACUCGCAGAAGAAGCACCGGCUAACUCCGUGCCAGCAGCCGCGGUAAUACGGAGGGUGCAAGCGUUAAUCGGAAUUACUGGGCGUAAAGCGCACGCAGGCGGUUGAUUAAGUCAGAUGUGAAAUCCCCGAGCUUAACUUGGGAACUGCAUUUGAAACUGGUCAGCUAGAGUCUUGUAGAGGGGGGUAGAAUUCCAGGUGUAGCGGUGAAAUGCGUAGAGAUCUGGAGGAAUACCGGUGGCGAAGGCGGCCCCCUGGACAAAGACUGACGCUCAGGUGCGAAAGCGUGGGG
rnacentral:rRNA from 1 species